UGCAAGUCGAACGAGAUCUUCGGAUCUAGUGGCAGACGGGUGAGUAACGCGUGGGAACCUGCCCAGUAGUAGAGGACAACUUGGGGAAACUUAAGCUAAUACUUUAUACGUCCUUCGGGAGAAAGCUUUAUGCGCUAUUGGAUGGGCCCGCGUUAGAUUAGUUUGUUGGUGAGGUAAUGGCUCACCAAGACUACGAUCUAUAGCUGGUCUGAGAGGAUGAUCAGCCACACUGGGACUGAGACACGGCCCAGACUCCUACGGGAGGCAGCAGUGGGGAAUAUUGGACAAUGGGGGCAACCCUGAUCCAGCGAUGCCGCGUGAGUGAUGAAGGCCCUAGGGUUGUAAAACUCUUACGUCAGGGAAGAUAAUGACGGUACCUGAAGAAGAAGAUCCGGCUAACUCCGUGCCAGCAGCCGCGGUAAUACGGAGGGAUCUAGCGUUAUUCGGAAUUACUGGGCGUAAAGCGAGCGUAGGCGGAUUUGUAAGUUGGAGGUGAAAUCCCAGAGCUUAACUCUGGAACUGCCUUCAAAACUACAUUUCUUGAGUUUGGUAGAAGAGAGUGGAAUUCCUAGUGUAGAGGUGAAAUUCGUAGAUAUUAGGAGGAACACCGGUGGCGAAGGCGACUCUCUGGGCCAACACUGACGCUGAGGUUCGAAAGCAUGGGUAGCGAACAGGAUUAGAUACCCUGGUAGUCCAUGCAGUAAACGAUGAGUGCUAGAUGUUGGGAAUUUAAAUUUCCAGUAUCGCAGUUAACGCGUUAAGCACUCCGCCUGGGAAGUACGGCCGCAAGGCUAAAACUCAAAUGAAUUGACGGGGACCCGCACAAGCGGUGGAUCAUGUGGUUUAAUUCGAAGAUACGCGAAGAACCUUACCGGCCCUUGACAUACCAAUCGCGGACUUAAGAGAUUAAGUCUUUCACUUCGGGUGGAUUGGAUACAGGUGCUGCAUGGCUGUCGUCAGCUCG
rnacentral:rRNA from 1 species